GAUGAACGCUAGCUACAGGCUAAACACAUGCAAGUCGAGGGGUAACAAGAGAAAAGCUUGCUUUUCUUGUUGACGACCGGCGCACGGGUGAGUAACGCGUAUCCAACCUGCCUAUAACUAGGGAAUAACCUUGCGAAAGUAAGACUAAUACCCUAUGAUUUCCUUUGAUGACAUCAGAUUAGGAAUAAAGAUUUAUCGGUUAUAGAUGGGGAUGCGUCUGAUUAGCUUGUUGGCGGGGUAACGGCCCACCAAGGCAACGGUCAGUAGGGGUUCUGAGAGGAAGGCCCCCCACAUUGGAACUGAGACACGGUCCAAACUCCUACGGGAGGCAGCAGUGAGGAAUAUUGGUCAAUGGGCGGAAGCCUGAACCAGCCAAGUAGCGUGCAGGAUGACGGCCCUAUGGGUUGUAAACUGCUUUUAUACAGGAAUAAAGUUAGCCACGUGUGGUUAUUUGUAGGUACUGUAUGAAUAAGGACCGGCUAAUUCCGUGCCAGCCGCCGCAGUAA
rnacentral:rRNA from 1 species